rnacentral:tRNA from 1 species
ACGAGGGUGGCCGAGUGGUCAAGGCGAUGGACUGCUAAUCCAUUGUGCUCUGCCACGCGUGGUUCGAAUCCCAUCCGUCGCA